rnacentral:rRNA from 1 species
AAAUUGAAGGGUUUGAUCAUGGCUCAGAUUGAACGCUGGCGGCAGGCCUAACACAUGCAAGUCGAACGGUAACAGGAAGAAGCUUGCUUCUUU